rnacentral:rRNA from 1 species
UACGUAGGGGGCUAGCGUUAUCCGGAAUUACUGGGCGUAAAGGGUGCGUAGGUGGUUUCUUAAGUCAGAGGUGAAAGGCUACGGCUCAACCGUAGUAAGCCUUUGAAACUGGGAAACUUGAGUGCAGGAGAGGAGAGUGGAAUUCCUAGUGUAGUGGUGAAAUGCGUAGAUAUUAGGAGGAACACCAGUUGCGAAGGCGGCUCUCUGGACUGUAACUGACACUGAGGCACGAAAGCGUGGGGAGCAAACAGG